ACCUGAUCCCAUCCCGAACUCAGAAGUGAAACGAAGCAUCGCCGAUGGUAGUGUGGCAUUCGCCAUGUGAGAGUAGGUCAUCGUCAGGC
rnacentral:rRNA from 1 species